AGAGUUUGAUUCUGGCUCAGAACGAACGCUGGCGGCAGGCCUAACACAUGCAAGUCGAACGCUGUAGCAAUACAGAGUGGCAGACGGGUGAGUAACGCGUGGGAACAUGCCCUUCGGUUCGGAAUAACUCAGGGAAACUUGAGCUAGUACCGGAUACGCCCUUAGGGGGAAAGAUUUAUUGCCGAAGGAUUGGCCCGCGUCCGAUUAGCUAGUUGGUGAGGUAAUGGCUCACCAAGGCGACGAUCGGUAGCUGGUCUGAGAGGAUGAUCAGCCACACUGGGACUGAGACACGGCCCAGACUCCUACGGGAGGCAGCAGUGGGGAAUACUGGACAAUGGGCGCAAGCCUGAUCCAAGCCAUGCCGCGUGAGUGAUGAAGGCCCUAGGGUUGUAAAGCUCUUUCGCCAGGGACGAUAAUGACGGUACCUGGAUAAGAAGCCCCGGCUAACUUCGUGCCAGCCGCUGC
rnacentral:rRNA from 1 species